rnacentral:rRNA from 1 species
AUGCAUAGAUCUCCACUACAGGGUCUUGAUAUUCUUGAAAUUGGAGACGAGCAGUUUCCUGCAAGCCUCGAGUAUGAUGACAAGUACGACCUCGAGAUGGUCUGCGCGAUACAUCUCUGUUUCUCGCACUACCACUCCAAGGUUUCAGGGGAGGACAUGCUCGAGUUUGUCAAGCAAAAGCUUGGCAUCAGGGUCGGUGCCGGUACCGGCCGGAGCUCGGUGAAGCGCAGGCCUGAGGAUUCAGAUUUAUGGCAGGGACACAAUCAAAUUUAUACCAUACGUUGUGAUGAUACAAGGAAAGUAAACAUAGAUGCAUAUUUUGUUCAACGUUACGAUACAAGGGAGAGUUGGCCUACGUCGCCAACUGAUCUGCGGCAGCGUGGAAGGAGAGUUCAAAAGCAGCAGGAGCGGCUGUUCUACUGCUGGUCGGAGGGAGAGCUUGGCAAGGGAGACAGAGGGAGCUCUACAACCACGAUCUUGGCAUACAACCCGAUGGCAUCAUGUCCACGGAGCAAACUGCGUAGCAAGAUCAAUAAUGAAUGGUUCAAGUCAUGUAUUACAAGUUACAAUGAGCAGGAGGUAGUCAAGUCAGUUGAUGAUAAGGAUAUUAUUCGAACAUUUACUGCAAUGACGUCUCGGAAAGGGCAUUUGCCUUGUGAUUGUCUUUAG